CUGACGUCAGCGGCCGAGCUACUCCCGGGCUAGGCCGAGCGCGAGGGGGUCGUUGGCGCUUAUACCCGUUGGAACCGGUUGGGGUGUAGUUUAUAGCCCUAGUGAGAAGCAGGUUAUUACUUUGUUUACUGAAGAUGCGGUGCCUUCAGUAGAACUUUCAUCAUGUUAAUCUUCCUCAAUGGGCACAUGAGAAACCAAAGUAACAUCUGUCUGUCCUCCAACAAGGAAGGCAGUAUUGAGAAUUUUCCAUGCUUGAACAUGAUAGCUUCCCACAGCAGUGCCAAUGCUGAAAGCCCUACCACACAGGAAUGCUGAUGUUAGGAACUUGUCAUUCCCAAAGCUGUGCCUUCCUUCCAGCACCCUCGUGCCUGGAAAAGCACUUCUCUGCUUCCAUAAUAAGCUGUCACUGUUUUUCAUUGCUCCACACUGUUCCUUUUCAGACAAAAACACAAUUUGUGUCUCCAGAGAUUCAGUCACUGUUACUCUUCUAAAGCAGUGAUCUGUGCAGUAUUGACUUUGCUCGGUACGCGUGGUUAAUUUAUUAACCACAUGUGCAUGACAGUUGUGGGGAAGAAGCAUAAACUCCAGGACUUGGAGUUACUUCAGUGUGAAUAAUUCUGCUCAUGAAAUGACUCUUGGGUUUUAUAGCUCCCUGGCUUUGAGCCCUUCUGAGUAUCUAAUCUGCCCCAUAAUUUGGGGUGCUAUUGUUAACUCGGCUUAAUCUUCAGUAAACUGCAAGUGAGGAGAGAUAAGCAAUGAGGCUAGAAAUGCUGGAUAGAAGAUAGAGAAAAGACCAGAUGGGUGAGACUGGGUUACAGAGCUGAGAAAUGGAUUUAAAGAAAAGUAUGUCACGGACAACAAAAAUGUGUGAUUGGAGUGAUACUGUCAUACUCUACCUCUUGGCUUCUGUGGGCUGCUUCUAGAGCUUUUCGGGAUAGUGGUGUCACUGUGGACAAAGCAAGGGAAGAAAGGAACAAAGGCCUUUUAUUUGAAUUAAAUCAUCAGUGGAUCCAUUACAACAGAUACUGUUCAGCUGAGGAGAUUGCAAACUGCAGUUGCGUGACCUUAACUCUGACCAAACUUGCAUUCUGGUGUAUUUAUUAGUGAUGCUGUCAGUUUUAAUUCAGUGAGCUGGAUAAGGAAGGUCUACUGUCACUUCCCAGAAAAUCUCUUAAUAGCCAAAUUCCUUUAUGGAAUAUGCCUUAAUGUAGCCUAAUGGCAGUAAAAUUCUGCUUUGGAAAGUUAUUACUCUUGAGUGAUAGGCAAUUUCUUCUUCCGGACCUGAAAAAUCAGUGGAUGAAUAAUGAAUGUGAGGUAAAACUGCUCUCUGUUUUAAUCAAACCAAACUUCAGUAAUAGGAAUGGAAGAUGUUGAAAGAAAGCAAAUUUAGCUUUAAUCAGCAGGCUUCUUUGUUGCAGAAAAAAAGAUUAAAAUUCAAGACACAAAAAAACAUUUAAGUAGGUCAGUGCUUUGAAAACCCUUUUAAUGUGGAUUACAAAGUCUACAGACAGCAACAAUGUUUUAGGCCUAUUUUUUGUGACCAUCUCUCACUAGAUAUAUGGACCUUUAGGACGAAAAACAGAAAUCAAAACUAUUUAAGCUACUGCUUAUCUAAGUUCAAUACAAAACUUAUUUUGUUGUAGUGUUCCAGUUAUAAGCAGUUAUUUUCUUUGUACUUUCAUAAAAACACAUAUAACUGCUGCUGCCUAAAAGUUUAUAAAACUGGUGUUUCUGACAAUAUCUUAAAGAAUUGCAUUAAUAUCUUAAAGAAUUGCAUUUAAGAUAACGUAUCAGAAGUUUUUUUGUUGUUGUAUAACAUGUAAAUAAUCUGUAUGUUGUAAAAAUGAAAUAUAUUUACCCUUUAAACAUUAGGGUUUUAUUAUGUGGGCCGUUGUAAAGCCUGCAUAACCAGUUAAGCAGCUCAUAGGCAAAUGCAGCUGUGUUAGUUACACCAGGCUGGGUUAGUCUGAAAGCUCAGGAGCUUGUUUUGACUUUGUGCUGUGUACCCAGUCCCUAAAACAAAGGCAGCCUGCACGAGACACUGUCCGGGACAGCUGCAGAGCACAGGCUGAAACUGCAGCAGUCAUAUGUUAAGAAAUAAACACAGCAAAUCUCUAACACAGAUAAUAUUAGGAACAAUGGCAAUUCCUGAUUACAAUAAUUGUUACCUGAACUCUUUCAGUCUUAAUUUGACAGUAACUUUUUUUGCAUUGGGUGUACAAGCUUUUAACUUUUUUAAAAAUGGUUUUGCUUUUCUAUUCACCUGGCUUUCCCUCACUUUCUUAUUUUCAUUCAAAGCAAUACUCAUGCAACAUUUUCCCCUCAAGGUAUUUAAAAAUGUUCUUUGUUUUGCUCUACUGCUAAUCCUUUUUUACAGGUAUGAGAAGAAAACAGCAGUUUGUCUUUAAAUAUUGGAAAGUUUCACAGGCAGCUUAGAGGGGCUCUAAAAUGUGGAUAGCCCUUAUUUACAGCAAGAAUAUGGUUUAAAUGGGUAAAAAACUUUCUAUUCUUUUCUCCACACCCCCCCCCCCCGCCCCAAACUGUUCCAGUGUUGGUAAACAUUGGUACUUUGCCUGAAACAUAUACACAAUUUACUCUUAAGAAAUGGAAUUUAAUUGCCAAUAAAAUUGUUCUGUCUUUUGUGAAUUGGAGAGCAUAGUUUGAGAACUUUUUUCUCCU